AUUUGUUUGAAUUUAAAGUUCAAACAGUUAAUGCCACUGGUUGAUUAUGAGGGUGAACAGUGAAGCUCUGCUGUGUGUUCUUGUGUUUAAAAUAAUUUCUAGGAGUCUGUGAUAGUUUGUGCAGCUGGAGUCUGAGCUGAAAGGCGGCAUUUCCUUUCUUGUUCGUCUCUGUGAAAUCUAAGAUAAUUCUACUACAAUGACCUGCAGCUGUACACUAGUGUACUUUACUCAAAUGCAGUUUUACUGCAGUUUAAAUGCACAGCUGCUCAACAUAGUGAAACAUCGUGAAUGUAGUGAAAUGGAAAGAAGACGGGUCGGCAACCUACGGCACGCGUUCCAACUGUGGCAUGCAGAGGAAUAAUUGCUGGCACGCGAGCAAUAGGGAAAACUGAGGUACAUUUUGAGCUUCUCCACAUUUGUUCCCAAGCUGGUCACCAUCUUUUUUUCGAAGGGCCUUCUCCGCCUCUUCUUAAGUCGCCGCCAUCUCUCCAGAUCUGGCCUUACCAGGGACUCAAGCACAGCAGUUCUUCUCUCUACAUGCUCUUCAGAAGUGUCCAGGAAUUUAUUUGAUGCAAUGCCUUGAGAUUCAUGCCUGUCUGACUGGAAGGAAGGGGAUGAAGGUUGAAUGGAUGCUGAAGUGUUUCCACACACUGCACCAGGUUGCAGAGUGGAAGGAGCUUGGUCCUUGACAGUGGAGGUAAGUAGUACAGGAGACCUAGUGGUAGUAAUGGGACACUGGCUGGUGGAUGGUGGAGGUGGUUUCACAAAACUGAGGUUUAGGGGUCCCGGCAACCUAGUGGAGAUAGUGGGACAUGGAAUAGGAGGUUGGAGAAGCUUUGCAGCACACUGGGCCACUGAGGAGAGCUGUUUGGAGAGAAGAUUGUAGAUGAGGUCAGUGUCACUCAAGAAUUAUUUCCUGUAUAUUCUUGUUCAUUAAGUAAAUGUGUACCGUUAGCAUGACAACAUUGUCUUUGCUGUCUAACACAUUAAUGGUUACGUUGUCCAUUUUGUUGUGUGUUACGCAGGGUAAUGCAGGUUCUUUAUAUAUCCUAAGAAACCAUGGGACCAUAGCCAACACCUGUUCCAUUCAAUAUUAUUUAUAGUUAGCAACAAUUGCAAUUACCAUUUUAAGUCCACUUUCAGUUUUGGCUCAACAUUUGUAUCAGUGAUUUCCAUUGUUUUCAUGAUUUAGUCAUUAAGUAACACUAUGUAUUAAUGGUAUUAACACGUGUUUAAGAUGUGUGUAUAAGUGGUGUUUUGGAAGGGUGUCUUCCAAAACAAGAUAACAUAUUGGAUAUAUACUUUAGCAGUAUAACAUGGGUGUUUCUGCUAAUACAAAAUGAAACACACCAAUUUGAAAAACUAAUGGAAUGCAUAGUCGAUAUAAAAAAUUGGAUGACGAGUAAUUUCUUACUG